rnacentral:rRNA from 1 species
UGGGGAAUAUUGCACAAUGGAGGGAACUCUGAUGCAGCGACGCCGCGUGAGUGAUGAAGGAAUUCGUUUCGUAAAACUCUGUUCUAUGGGAAGAAAAGGACUGUACCAUAGGAGAAAGCUCCGGCUAAAUACGUGCCAGCAGCCGCGGUAAUACGUAUGGAGCGAGCGUUGUCCGGAAUUAUUGGGCGUAAAGGGUGCGCAGGCGGCUUUACAAGUUGGAUGUGAAAUAUUGUGGCUCAACCACAAACGUGCAUCCAAAACUGCAAAGCUUGAGUUAAGGAGAGGUAAGUGGAAUUCCUGGUGUAGCGGGGGAAUGCGUAGAUAUCAGGAGGAAUACCGGUGGCGAAGGCGACUUACUGGACUUAAACUGACGCUCAGGCACGAAAGCGUGGGGAGCAAACAGG